UGAUCGUGGAAAGGCAGGGUGCGAUCGUCACUUUACCAUUCUCUUCCUCCCCUCUUUCUCUCUCCCUCAGAUCCCAUUCUCUUCAUCACUCUCUUUCUCUCUCCCUCAGUUUCAAUCUGCUCACCUAAAAUCCCCAGAUCGAACAUCCUCCAUCUCAAAUAAAAAAACCUUCCCUAAUCAUGGAUUUUUGUUGAGUCGACCUUCAGGUGAUAAAAUCGUGAUGUGACCAUCGUAUUAUCUCUCACAGCUCACAACGAUGAAAUCGCACCACGACCAGUGUCGGUAUGAUUAGACGGUUCGGAUGCGCCUAAUGAACAAACCUAAUUUGCCUCGCGCGUUCAGUCAUCACCUUCCUUCGUCUAAAACCUCACACAGAGACAGAGCUCCCCCAAAACCCUAAACGCCCAAAGUAUUAAUCACGAAGUUACGGAGCUGAAAUUGCAAACGCUAUCAUGGCUCACUUAAAAAAUAAGAAGGUGUUUGUGAAGUUGGUUUCGACGAAGAAGCAGGCUAAUAUGGACCAUAUC
rnacentral:sRNA from 1 species